rnacentral:rRNA from 1 species
AGUGAACGCUGGCGGUAGGCCUAACACAUGCAAGUCGAACGGCAGCACAGUAGGAGUUGCCUCUUCGGGGGGCGGGGGGCGGGCGGGGAAAGAAUUACUUCGCAGCCUCUUUUUUCUGGGGGACCACGUAAGGGAACCUUAGCUUAGUACUGCUUCGGCCGUACGGGGUAAAGCAGGGGAUCUUGGACCCUUUCUGUUUUGAUUUGGCGGAUGUCGGAUUAGCUGGUUGGCGGGGUAAAGGCCAACAAAGGCGACGAUCCGUAGCUGGCCUGAGAGGAUGAUCAGCCCAAAUGGAACUGAGACACGGUCCAGACUCCUACGGGAGGCAGCAGUGGGGAAUAUUGGACAAUGGGCGCAAGCCUGAUCCAGCCAUACCGCGUGGGUGAAGAAGGCCUUCGGGUUGUAAAGCCCUUUUGUUGGGAAAGAAAAGCAGCAGGUUAAUACCCCGCUGUUCUGACGGUACCCAAAGAAUAAGCACCGGCUAACUUCGUG